GGAGGGGGGGCAAGCGUUAUUCGGAUUACUGGGCGUAAAGCGCACGUAGGCGGGCAACAUAAGUCACAGGGUGAAAGCCCUCGGCUCAACCGAGGAAUUGCCUGCGAAACUGCGUUGCUUGAGUCCGGGAGGGGGGAGCGGAAUUCCCAGUGUAGCGGUGAAAUGCGUAGAUACUGGGAGGAACACCGGUGGCGAAGGCGGCUCCCUGGACCGGUACUGACGCUGAGGUGCGAAAGCGUGGGUAGCAAACAGGAUUAGAUACCCUGGUAGUCCACGCCGUAAACGAUGGGCACUAGGUGCAGCGGGUGUCGACCCCUGCUGUGCCGGAGUUAACGCAUUAAGUGCCCCGCCUGGGGAGUACGGUCGCAAAGGCUG
rnacentral:rRNA from 1 species